rnacentral:snRNA from 1 species
ACCACUUCUCAGCCUUUGGGUAAGAUCGGGUGUAGUAUCUGUUCUUAUCAGUUUAAUAUCUGAUACGUGCCCUACCCCUUGUACUGUGUGUGUGUUCGGGGUUAAAAUGCAUGUAAAUAAAACUGAGAAGAAUGAAAAAGAAUUUGUUGAGGGAUUAAUAAAGUUUCUCUUACACGUGAGAGUGAAUUACUCAAGACGAUGUUGCUGAAUCUGUCUUGACGUGCA